rnacentral:rRNA from 1 species
CUCAAAUGAAUUGACGGGGGCCCGCACAAGCGGUGGAGCAUGUGGUUUAAUUNGAUGCAACGCGAAGAACCUUNCNUGGUCUUGACAUACACAGAAUCUNGUAGAGAUACGAGAGUGCCUUCGGGAAUUGUGAUACAGGUGCUGCAUGGCUGUCGUCAGCUCGUGUCGUGAGAUGUUGGGUUAAGUCCCGCAACGAGCGCAACCCUUGUCCUUAGUUACCAGCGGGUUAAGCCGGGAACUCUAAGGAUACNGCCAGUGACAAACUGGAGGAAGGCGGGGACGACGUCAAGUCAUCAUGGCCCUUACGACCAGGGCUACACACGUGCUNCAAUGGUAGGUACAGAGGGCAGCUACACAGCGAUGNGAUGCGAAUCUCAAAAAGCCUAUCGUAGUCCAGAUUGGAGUCUGCANCUCGACUCCANGAAGUAGGAAUCGCUAGUAAUNGCGGAUCAGAAUGCCGCGGNGAAUACGUUCCCGGGCCUUGU